GGGCUGGUAGUUUAGUCUGGUAGAAUGCCUGGUUGGCAAUCAGGAGAUCCUGGGUUCAAAAUGCAUGAGCGGCUGAGACUUUCGAGUAGAUACUGACUCUUUAGGUCGCUUGGGUGUGAUAGUCCCAGUCAGUCCA
rnacentral:tRNA from 1 species